rnacentral:rRNA from 1 species
AUUGAACGCUGGCGGCAGGCCUAACACAUGCAAGUCGAGCGGCAGCGACUUAACUGAACUUCGGGGAACGUUAAGGGCGGCGAGCGGCGGACGGGUGAGUAAUGCCUGGGAAUAUGCCCUGAUGUGGGGGAUAACUAUUGGAAACGAUAGCUAAUACCGCAUAAUCUCUUCGGAGCAAAGAGGGGGACCUUCGGGCCCCUCGCGUCAGGAUUAGCCCAGGUGGGAUUAGCUUGUUGGUGAGGUAAUGGCUCACCAAGGCAACGAUCCCUAGCUGGUCUGAGAGGAUGAUCAGCCACACUGGAACUGAGACACGGUCCAGACUCCUACGGGAGGCAGCAGUGGGGAAUAUUGCACAAUGGGGGAAACCCUGAUGCAGCCAUGCCGCGUGUGUGAAGAAGGCCUUCGGGUUGUAAAGCACUUUCAGUAGGGAGGAAGGUAGUGUAGUUAACACCUGCAUUAUUUGACGUUACCUACAGAAGAAGCACCGGCUAACUCCGUGCCAGCAGCCGCGGUAAUACGGAGGGUGCGAGCGUUAAUCGGAAUUACUGGGCGUAAAGCGCAUGCAGGCGGCCUGUUAAGUCAGAUGUGAAAGCCCGGGGCUUAACCUCGGAAUUGCAUUUGAAACUGGCAGGCUAGAGUCUUGUAGAGGGGGGUAGAAUUUCAGGUGUAGCGGUGAAAUGCGUAGAGAUCUGAAGGAAUACCAGUGGCGAAGGCGGCCCCCUGGACAAAGACUGACGCUCAGAUGCGAAAGCGUGGGGAGCAAACAGG